CGGUAAUUCCAGCUCCAAUAGCGUAUAUUAAAGUUGUUGCAGUUAAAAAGCUCGUAGUUGGACCUUGGACCUGGACAGGCGGUCCGCCUCACGGCGAGUACUGUCUUGCUGGGUCUUUCCUCUUGGUGAUCUGUUGUUUCGGCAGCAGGGAACCAGGACCUUUACUUUGAAAAAAUUAGAGUGGUUCAAGGCAGGCUCGACGCCGGAAUAUAUUAGCAUGGAAUAAUAAAAUAGGACGUGCGGUUCUAUUUUGUUGGUUUUUGGAAUCGCCGUAAUGAUUAAUAGGGACAGUCGGGGGCAUUAGUACUCACAUGCUAGAGGUGAAAUUCUUGGAUUUUGUGAAGACUAACUUCUGCGAAAGCAUUUGCCAAGGAUGUUUUCAUUAAUCAAGAACGAAGGUUAGGGUAUCGAAAACGAUUAGAUACCGUUGUAGUCUUAACAGUAAACUAUGCCGACUAGGGAUCGGUCGAUGUUAUCUUUUUGACUCGAUCGGCACCUUACGAGAAAUCAAAGUUUUUGGGUUCUGGGGGGAGUAUGGUCGCAAGGCUGAAA
rnacentral:rRNA from 1 species